rnacentral:rRNA from 1 species
UACGUAGGGGGCAAGCGUUGUUCGGAAUUACUGGGCGUAAAGCGCGCGUAGGCGGUUUGAAAAGUCAGAUGUGAAAGCCCCGGGCUCAACUUGGGAACUGCAUUUGAUACUGUCAGACUAGAGUACAGAAGAGGUGACUGGAAUUCCCAGUGUAGCGGUGAAAUGCGUAGAUAUUGGGAGGAACACCAGAUGCGAAGGCGGGUCACUGGGCUGAUACUGACGCUGAAGCGCGAAAGCCAGGGGAGCGAACGGG